AGAGUUUGAUCCUGGCUCAGGACGAACGCUGGCGGCGUGCUUAACACAUGCAAGUCGAGCGGGGUCCAACCUCUCGCAAGAGAGGUGAAGACCUAGCGGCGAACGGGUGAGUAACACGUGAGGAACCUGCCCCGAAGACUGGGAUAACACCGGGAAACCGGUGCUAAUACCGGAUGCCCUCAGAGAGUCGCAUGGCUCAUUGAGGAAAUGGAUUCCGCUUCGGGAGGGUCUCGCGGCCUAUCAGCUUGUUGGUGGGGUAACGGCCUACCAAGGCUCCGACGGGUAGCUGGUCUGAGAGGACGACCAGCCACACUGGGACUGAGACACGGCCCAGACUCCUACGGGAGGCAGCAGUGGGGAAUCUUGCGCAAUGGGCGAAAGCCUGACGCAGCAACGCCGCGUGGGGGACGAAGGCCUUCGGGUUGUAAACCCCUUUCAGCAGGGACGAAAAUGACGGUACCUGCAGAAGAAGCCCCGGCCAACUACGUGCCAGCAGCCGCGGUAAUACGUAGGGGGCGAGCGUUGUCCGGAUUUAUUGGGCGUAAAGAGCUCGUAGGCGGUUUGGCAAGUCGGGUGUGAAAACUCCGGGCUCAACUCGGAGACGCCACUCGAUACUGCCAUGACUCGAGUCCGGUAGGGGAGUGCGGAAUUCCUGGUGUAGCGGUGAAAUGCGCAGAUAUCAGGAGGAACACCGGUGGCGAAGGCGGCACUCUGGGCCGGUACUGACGCUGAGGAGCGAGAGCGUGGGGAGCGAACAGGAUUAGAUACCCUGGUAGUCCACGCCGUAAACGUUGGGCACUAGGUGUGGGGCUCGAUCGACGGGCUCCGUGCCGUAGCUAACGCAUUAAGUGCCCCGCCUGGGAAGUACGGCCGCAAGGCUAAAACUCAAAGGAAUUGACGG
rnacentral:rRNA from 1 species